rnacentral:rRNA from 1 species
GACAGAGGGUGCAAACGUUGUUCGGAAUUACUGGGCGUAAAGCGCGUGUAGGCGGCUAUUUAAGUCGGAUGUGAAAGCCCUCGGCUCAACCGGGGAAGUGCACCCGAAACUGCAAAGCUAGAGUCUCGGAGAGGAUCGUGGAAUUCUCGGUGUAGAGGUGAAAUUCGUAGAUAUCGAGAGGAACACCGGUGGCGAAGGCGGCGAUCUGGACGAUGACUGACGCUGAGACGCGAAAGCGUGGGGAGCAAACAGG